GGGCAAGCAGCUCCCUCGCUAUUAAUAACCUGGCGGGGAGCCGGCGUCGUGUCUAUAAAGCCGAGCACGCCAACCCCAAGCGGCUCCUUCAACCCCUGAGAUCUUAAACAAAAGUGUAUAGAUAUUUUGCCUGCAUUUUUGUCUGUGUACCACAUGUGUGCAGUACCCACAGGGGCCGGAAAGAUGUCCUCUGGAGCUGGAAUUACAAGUGCAUGUGAGCCACCCUGAGGGUGUUGGAGACUGAUUCCCGUCCUCUGCAAGAGCAGCCACUGAGCCAUCCUUCCAGCCCCAAGUUCAUUCUUUAUUCUAUGAAUCAUGUCUACGGUGCCUGAGUGGCCAGGCUCUGGCUGCCUUGAAGUCAUCUCCCUUAUGUCCCUGUCUCAUGCUGAACUAUUUUGGGGGACGUGACCAGCAGAUGAGUCUGGCCACAGUUGUGCCUGGGACAAAGGCCUGGGUUUGGCAAGCAUAAACCCUGUUCCAGUCCUGUGCUUUCAGCCUCUGCUUAACCUUGACGCUGCGACCCUACAGGGAAGCUCCUCACGUUGGUCACAGGACUUCUACAGCUGGGGAGAUGACAGAUGUCUGCAUUGCUACCUGUGGGUGUGGGGACACCCCACAUCUGUCACGCAGAAGGCAGGUCUCACUAAUAUUGAUUGGGGCAGCAUGACAAGAGAAAUAGAAAUGAGUACAGGAGCCCCAUCCCAAAGCAAAACAAAAUACCCUUAAGUUUGAAGGUAAAACUCAAGUGUUAGAAAGUGGAAUUCAAGAGCCAGACGUUGAUAGCACACGCCUUUAACCCCACACUCUGAAGGGAAGCAGACAGAUCUCUGAUUUCAAGGCCAGAGUGAAUUCCAGGACAGCCAGGGCUACACAGAGAAACCUUGUCUCAGGGGAAAAGGAAAGGAAAGAAAAGGAUAGGAAAAAAAGAAAACGAAUUUUAUAAUUUAUUGUAUUUUUUUAUAUUAUUUUAUGUGUGGGUGGAGCUGAUACUAAAAUCUAGUUCCCUAAUUGGUUCUUGAUUUGGUCAAUAAAGAAGGUGGAAACCAGUAGGUCCCAGGCAAAAGAAGAAGCAUGUUUUUAAAAUUACAAGCAACAAUUUUAUUUUCAAAGUCUUAUGUAGACAAGGAGGCUUCAGACUUGUUAUUUAGCAGAACACUACUACUCAGUCACUCGUCCAUCCAUCUGUCCGUCCGUCCGUCGGUCCAUCCAUCCAUCAAUCCACCCAUUAAUCCAUCCAUCCACUCAUCUACUAUAGCAUUUUUCUAUAUGUAAUUGGGAUUCUGUCAUUGCAAUUCCACAGAUGGCCAUUAGGUGUCACCCUCAGGCCAAAGAAUAAAAUCUCUGAAGCCGCUCUGGCUUUUCUUCUGACCUGGGAAGGAGGAACUCCGGCUGCGGUGGCCGUGUGCUGUGAACAGAAAGAACCCGGUGACAAGGGGGUAGGGGGGAGGCAGCUGAUGCUGUGGUUCUGGGAACAAACUGGCCUCUUCAGCCUGGGCUCAUGUUAGAAUUUUGUUCCCCCUGGCUUGUUGGAAGGAGCAGAUGGCCCAGCAUGGGACUAAUGUGAUCCAUAAUGCAAGGAAUGAGGAAACAUGUAGCUCAGGCUAGCCUGUAACUCACUAUGUAGUAACUCCUGAUCCUUCUGCCUCCUCGUGCCAAGUGCUGGUACACCAGGCAUGUGCUGCCACCCAGCGAGGCCAGCAGUCUACCAACUGAGCUAACUGCCAGCUGCCGCCCUUCCAAGCCCAAGCCCGGAAGAUGUGAGUAGCUCGGGGUGAGAUUUCUGACCCACAACACCUCCCAUCCCAGCACUGGAGACUGAAGCAUGGAUUCUGAGGCCAGCCUGGGCUACCAAAGAAGACUGUGUUUUAAAAAGAAAAAGAAAAAAAGAAAAUUAAAAUGGACGAACCCUCAAGUGCUUAGAGAGUGGCAGGGGGCCUACUGGGCUCUGCCCACUGCUACAAUGCUUCCUCUUUGAGGUCACUAGGCUACUACCCAGUCGUUGAAGAGGAGUAUAGCUCUGACACCAUGCCAGCGGUUUAAACUGGAUACAGGAGAACUCGCAUGUAAGAUCCACUUCCAGAAGGUCCCAAGAGCACAGAGAUGGGGUGGGAAGUGAAUGGGGACCUCGAACCCUUGUCCCCAUCCAGGGGUGGGAGGGGAUUAGUGUAGGACGGGAGCAGGGCAUCUUAGUGCAUUAUGGAAAGCUCUGAAGUGGGGGAGUCCAGUGACUGCUCUGCUGUCCACAGCCAUGGGCUAGGACAGAUAAGGUGGGGACAGGCCAGUGAGAGAAACAAGGGAGACCAGCACACAAGGGCCUCAUACCUGGUUCCUCCAGGCCUGGCAGUCCUGUGGUUGUAUCUGUGUGUGGCCAAGCCAGUGAGACUUAGGGAUAACCUGAGACCCUGGGCAUGGCUGGCAUUGUUUACAUGAAUGUGAAUUCUGGGGGUCGCCCUGUUUGUGCUCUGAGCUGAGUAAGGCUCUCAAUAUAAACGAGGGAGAGAGGGCCCAGCAAGAUGGCUCAGCAGGUAAAGGUGCUUGCAGCCAGGUCUUGAUGACCCAAGUUCAAUUCCCAUUUGAUGGAAAGAGAACUGACUCCACUCAAGUGAUCUCCACAUGUGUAUGGAUGCAUUCACAACAGAUAAAUAAUAGCUAAUAAUAGCUAAUAAAGUCUUGUUUUCUUUUUUCUUUCUUUCUUUCUUUCUUUCUUUCUUUCUUUCUUUCUUUCUUUCUUUCUUUCUAUCUCUCUCCCCUCUCUCUCUGUCUCUCUCUCUCUCUUUUUGGUUUUUCGAGACAGGGUUUCUCUGUGUAGCCCUGGCUGUCCUGGAACUCAUUCUGUAGACCAGGCUGGCCUUGAACUCAGAAAUCCGACUGCCUCUGACCCCCAAAUGCUGUGAUUAAAGGCGUGUGCCACCACUGCCCAGCUCUUUUUCUCAUUAUUAACUACCCACCAUUAAAAGUGCUGAAGAUUGAGUUCAUGGACCAACUACAUGUCAGAAAAUGUUUCUACAAGCAAUCCACACUCCCAUGAUGAAUACAAGGUUGCCGGAGUCCUGUAGCUUGAUAUGGAAAUUAGGGGUCUGGUUUUGCAUAUGUAGCAUCAAGGACUAGAAAGACUGGGAUCUGAACACAGGGCUGACUCUAGAGACCUCGUCUGAGAGUCAGGUCUUUGCGUAUGUAUGGGGGUGCAUAUGCACCCCUGCCUACUAAGAGGUCAUAGGACCACUUGUGUGUGAGUCAUGUUUCCUUCCACCACACGGGUCGUAGAGAUCCAGUUCAGGUUGUCAGGCUGGGGAGCAAACCCCGAGCUUGCUGGUGCAGGCAGGCCGGUUGGCCUGUGAAUCCCAAGGUCUGGUCUCUAUCUCCCUAGGUUUUUACAGAUUGGCCCAGCUUUGCCAGGCAGGUCACACGGGUGCCAGGGAUCCGAACUCAGGUCUUCACACUUGUCUGCCAGCACUACCCACCCCUGUCACCUGUGCCUAUGUCCAAAGGUGGAGUUGAGUCUAUGAGUCUCCAGAUCCGUGGCCCUGUCAGGAGACUACACACACUCACCUCUCCCUCUUGGCUCGGAGUCUCUGCUCUUCAUAUCUGAGAGAGAGAGAGGCAGGUUCAGUGAGUGGGAAGGGUGGGACCCUGCCCCAAGCUGUCAGGGCCACAGAGGCCAGGCAAAGGGGACUGGGGAUACAGAUGGGGACUGAACUUCAGAGUGGGGUUGGCUGAACUGAGUAUUGAGAUGAGGUUUCAGUGGUCAGUUUUCUGUAAUAUGUAACUUUUAACUUGAUUUAUUUAAGGUUUAUUUAACUAUAUUAAAUUGAGUGUGCUUAGAGUGCAGUUCCCACAGUGGCCAGAAGGGGCAUCAGGUGCCCAGGAGCUGGAGUUCCAGGUGUUGUGAGCCACUGUGUGGGUGCUGGGAACCGAACCCCUGUCUUCUGAAGGAGGAGCGGGUGUGAUAACCACUGAGCUGUCAUUCCCUGACAUAGUCACUCCCAAACUCAGGGACGCUAAGGCCGGAGGGGCACUUACUGCAGGACACAGUCUGGCAGCUGCACGUGUUCCAUGGGAAUCAGUCGCUCCAGCUCUUCCAGGCUGUGCACGUACUGAAUUUUACUGAUGAACUUGACACUGAGGGAGACAACAGGGUAGACAAGGGGUCAUCAGACAGAGCCAGACUCUGCCCCACCUAGCCUGCCAAGUUGCCCAUGCUGGCCUCGAACCCACUAUCCUCUUGUCUCAGCUUUCUCCCCAGACUUUUCUCAUGGAUUGUCCCAGUGGCCUUUGUGAACUAUGAUGAACAACAAACAUGUCAGACGUGGUUUUUUAGAAUUUUUUUUUACAUUUAUUCAUGGUGUGUGCAUAAAUAAAAGUCAAGAGAAGAGCU
rnacentral:lncRNA from 1 species